UACGUAGGGUGCAAGCGUUAAUCGGAAUUACUGGGCGUAAAGCGUGCGCAGGCGGUCCGUUAAGACAGAUGUGAAAGCCCCGGGCUCAACCUGGGAAUGGCAUUGGAAACUGGCGGACUCGAGUGUGGCAGAGGGGGGUGGAAUUCCGCGUGUAGCAGUGAAAUGCGUAGAGAUGCGGAGGAACACCGAUGGCGAAGGCAGCCCCCUGGGCUAACACUGACGCUCAGGCACGAAAGCGUGGGGAGCAAACAGG
rnacentral:rRNA from 1 species